rnacentral:misc_RNA from 1 species
GUGAGUCAUCGAAUCUUUGAACGCACAUUGCGCCCGCCAGUAUUCUGGCGGGCAUGCCUGUUCGAGCGUCAUUUCAACCAUCAAGCCCCAGGCUUGUGUUGGAGCCCUGCGGCUGCCGCAGCCUCCCAAAACCAGUGGCGGGCUCGCUAUCACACCGAGUGCAGUAGUUUACUCUUCGCUCAGGGCGUGUGGCGGGUGCUAGCCGUGAAAACCCUACUUCUUAAGGUUGACCUCGGAUCAGGUAGGAAUACCCGCUGAACUUAAGCAUAUCAAUAAGCGGAGGA